rnacentral:rRNA from 1 species
UACGAAGGGGCUAGCGUUGCUCGGAAUCACUGGGCGUAAAGCGCACGUAGGCGGCUUGUUAAGUCAGGGGUGAAAUCCUGGAAGCUCAACUGCCAGAACUGCCUUGAUACUGGCGUAGACUUGAGUCCGGGAGAGGUGUAGUGGAACUGCGAGUGUAGAGGUCGAAAUUCGUAGAGUAUAGGGAGAACACCGGUGGCGAAGGCGGGCCAUC